GAUCAUGGCUCAGGAUGAACGCUGGCGGCGUGCCUAACACAUGCAAGUCGAGCGAUUCUCUUCGGAGAAGAGCGGCGGACGGGUGAGUAACGCGUGGGUAACCUGCCUCAUACACAUGGAUAACAUACCGAAAGGUAUGCUAAUACAGGAUAAUAUAAGAGAUUCACAUGGAUUUCUUAUCAAAGCUCCGGCGGUAUGAGAUGGACCCGCGUCUGAUUAGCUAGUUGGUAAGGUAACGGCUUACCAAGGCGACGAUCAGUAGCCGACCUGAGAGGGUGAUCGGCCACAUUGGAACUGAGACACGGUCCAAACUCCUACGGGAGGCAGCAGUGGGGAAUAUUGCACAAUGGGCGAAAGCCUGAUGCAGCAACGCCGCGUGAGUGAUGAAGGCCUUCGGGUCGUAAAACUCUGUCCUCAAGGAAGAUAAUGACGGUACUUGAGGAGGAAGCCCCGGCUAACUACGUGCCAGCAGCCGC
rnacentral:rRNA from 1 species